UUGACUGUUGCCAAUGAUGGAUUUUCUUUAAACUGAAACACAGUGAUUUUAACUGAAUGUUUCGUCACUACCACUGAGGCAACAUUUUU